rnacentral:rRNA from 1 species
UACGUAGGGGGCAAGCGUUGUCCGGAUUUAUUGGGCGUAAAGAGCGUGUAGGCGGUUUGGUAGGUCCGCUGUGAAAACUCGAGGCUCAACCUCGAGACGCCGGUGGAAACCAUCAGGCUAGAGUCCGGAAGAGGAGAGUGGAAUUCCUGGUGUAGCGGUGAAAUGCGUAGAUAUCAGGAGGAACACCUGUGGUGUAGACAGCUUUCUGGACCAUUGCUGACGCUGAGACACGAAAGCGUGGGUAGCAAACAGG